rnacentral:tRNA from 1 species
AGCAGUGUGGCUCAGUGGAAGGAGCCCUGGCUUGAGAGUCAGAGGUCUUGGGUUCUAAUCCCAACUCUGCCG